rnacentral:rRNA from 1 species
GCUGAAGCCUGGUGCUUGCACCGGGUGGAUGAGUGGCGAACGGGUGAGUAACACGUGAGUAACCUGCCCCUGACUUCGGGAUAAGCCCGGGAAACUGGGUCUAAUACCGGAUACGACCGCCGGACGCAUGUCUGGUGGUGGAAAGUUUUUUCGGUUGGGGAUGGGCUCGCGGCCUAUCAGUUUGUUGGUGAGGUAAUGGCUCACCAAGACGACGACGGGUAGCCGGCCUGAGAGGGCGACCGGCCACACUGGGACUGAGACACGGCCCAGACUCCUACGGGAGGCAGCAGUGGGGAAUAUUGCACAAUGGGGGAAACCCUGAUGCAGCGACGCAGCGUGCGGGAUGACGGCCUUCGGGUUGUAAACCGCUUUCAGCAGGGAAGAAGCGCAAGUGACGGUACCUGCAGAAGAAGUACCGGCUAACUACGUGCCAGCAGCCGCGGUAAUACGUAGGGUACGAGCGUUGUCCGGAAUUAUUGGGCGUAAAGAGCUCGUAGGUGGUUGGUCACGUCUGCUGUGGAAACGCA